rnacentral:lncRNA from 1 species
AUAUGUGUACAUAUGUGAUACAUACAUACAUAUUUCAUGUAUAUGUAACUGCAACCCAGAUAAAGACAGAAGAUUUCUUGCAACCCAAAAAGGCCCCUUGUCCUUGCUUUCAGUCUGAUACUACACAGCAGCUUAAAAGUAGCUGAUUUUUACAAAUAAAAUACUUUGAAGAUUACUCACACUAAUUUUAUUAGAAAUUGCAUUUAGUUGUGAAUAGGCCCGUAAAAGAA